AGCCUGAUGAUGUCCCACCACGAAUGCAACGGCUCUCCUGGCUGGGGCUAGUGGAAGCAGUUUUGAUGGAAGUUAAGAGGAUUUGCAACUUAGAGGAUUUCUGGGAUAAUUCUCUUAAAGUAGUGACUUCACCAACAGGAAUUCCAGGCCCCCUGGUGUGCCAGCUCAAGGGAUAAGCAGAGUAUGUCGGGUUCCCAGGAGGUGCCAAUGAACAGAGAAAUAGCCAAAGGGCUCGCUGAGUGGGAGCAGAGGUAAAUGGGCCCGGAUAAUUGGAAAACUGGAUAGUCACGAGGUUAACUAUGCCACAGGCAAGAAUCCAGAUGGUUCCAACCUACCUCAGCCAGUGAUUGAUUUGUUCAGAGUUUUGAAAUUACCAGGGAAGAGCUUUUGAGGAUGUUUGAGAUCCAUGAUUCAAAACAGGGAGGGACACAUGAGUGGCAGGUGACAUCAGAAGCCACCAGCCAUUCCUCAAAUUGCCAGCUCUGGAGCCCUCCAUCCUGCACUAGAAGGAGAUACUGCAAACCCUGCCAAGGUGUUCAUGCUUCUUGUGCUUUAACAUU
rnacentral:lncRNA from 1 species